rnacentral:rRNA from 1 species
ACCCGCUGAACUUAAGCAUAUCAAUAAGCGGAGGAAAAGAAACCAACAGGGAUUGCCCUAGUAACGGCGAGUGAAGCGGCAACAGCUCAAAUUUGAAAUCUGGCGUCUUUGGCGUCCGAGUUGUAAUUUGCAGAGGGCGCUUUGGCAUUGGCAGCGGUCCAAGUUCCUUGGAACAGGACGUCACAGGGGGUGAGAAUCCCGUACGUGGUCGCUAGCCUUUACCGUGUAAAGCCCCUUCGACGAGUCGAGUUGUUUGGGAAUGCAGCUCUAAAUGGGAGGUAAAUUUCUUCUAAAGCUAAAUACUGGCCAGAGACCGAUAGCGCACAAGUAGAGUGAUCGAAAGAUGAAAAGCACUUUGGAAAGAGAGUUAAAAAGCACGUGAAAUUGUUGAAAGGGAAGCGCUUGCAGCCAGACUUGCCUGUAGUUGCUCAUCCGGGUUUUUACCCGGUGCACUCUUCUAUAGGCAGGCCAGCAUCAGUUUGGGCGGUUGGAUAAAGGUCUCUGUCAUGUACCUCUCUUCGGGGAGAACUUAUAGGGGAGACGACAUGCAACCAGCCCGGACUGAGGUCCGCGCAUCUGCUAGGAUGCUGGCGUAAUGGCUGU